GUCUGGAUGGCGUAGUGGUCAGCGCGUCUGCCUACUAAGCAGGAGACCCAGCUUCGAAUCCCGGUCCGGCACA